ACAACACUAUAUAUAAGGUUAUAUGAAACUAUAGACCGGUACAUGACACUAUAGCUACCGGACUACAAAACACUAUACUACAUUAUAGAAGACAUACAACACUAUUAUACAAGGCUAUACAACACUAUACAACACUAUACAACGUUAUACAACACAAUACAACACUAUCGCCUGUAUUCUAAAAGCUCACUCACACUCGCACUCAAUGAGUGGAAGUUCAAUCUGAGCUUCUCUCGAGUGUCAUUGCUGUUUUUGAAUAGCUGGAGGGCUGUUGUCAUACCUUACUAUGUGGUUACUCACCCUCCAGCUAUUCAGAAAUAGCAUAGACGGGAAGAGAAGCUCAGAUUGAACCUCCACUCAUUGAGUGUGAGUGAGCUUUUACAAUAUAAUAUAGGCGUAUAUAAGGCUAAACGAAUAUAUACAACAUUUGUUUACAUUUUCACUCUCAUGCAGCUAAUCAUAAUGCAGGAAACGAGAAAUUUACACCAAGGCUUGCCGCGAGCUAGAAAGUACUGCCGUCUUUUCGGGCUUCCGUGAGAUUCAAUUUUACUGAACUUUUUUAAUUUAAAACCAAAAGAUUAUAAUAUGAUGCAGCACAUUAAAAUCUAAAACUUUGCCGUGGGCAUUUUUAAAUUUCGACCUAGAACUGAAAAUAUCCGUGUUUGAAAUGUUUCCCUAUGUCGCGUAUACAAAUUUGAGUAAUCUAAUUUGACUGCAAUAAAGCUAAAAAUUGCUAUAUUUUCUCUGCUUUUAAGUUUUUGUUGGAAAACUCUUUUUCGCUUUUGUUGCAAAUUGUUUUGGUCAAUGUUUUGUAUGAAAAACCCAGACGAUAACGCGUUUAUAGCGUUAUAAAAUAAUACAUUGACCAAAAUGAUUCUCAACAAGGGCGAAAAAGAGUUUUCCAACAAACGUAAAGCAGAGAAAAUAUAGCAAUUUUUAGUUUUACUGCAGUCAAAUUAGAUUACUCAAAUUUGUAUACGCGACAUAGGGAAAAAUUUCAAACACGGAUAUUUUCCGUUCUAGGUCGAAAUUUAAAACUGCCAACGGCAAAGUUUUAGAUUUUAAUGAGCUGUAUCAAGAGCUUUUGGUUAUAAAUUUAAAAAUUUAAAAUUGAAUCUCACGGAAGCCCGAGAAAACGGCAAUAUUUUCUAGCUCGCCUUGGUGUAAAUUUCUCGUUUCCUGCAUUAUGAUUAGCUGAGAGCGAAAAUGCAAACAAAUGCGCUGAUUGGUCGAGCACGAAAUCUGCGGAGGCCCAGGCUCUAUUUGCCCGCGCCCGCCCGCCUGUGCCUUCCUUAUAACGAGGCCGAUGGAAGGAAACAUUAAGACCAAAACACAGGCGGCCCAAUCUCUGAACGUCCUAUAUAUUUUGAGUAUUUAACCGUUUAAUAUAAUAUUUUAAAAUAA
rnacentral:lncRNA from 1 species